AUGCGGCCACCAAUAUGCAGUCAGCGUCGCUCUGACCCUGGUGGCCCUGGCGUGGCGUCCUGCUCGCUGCUCGUCUCCCCGUCCGUGCAGGGGCGCUCUACCUCUCUCCACCGUAGGGACCCAGCGGCGGCCCUCUCCUUUACCAAUGGGAAGGGCGGCAAUUCAACCAGCUUUGGCAUGCGAUCCAAGGUAUCAACAGAGAUGCUUCUGCCCCGGACAAAUUUAGGUGGCCUUGGACUAAUGACGGCUCGUACUCCGCUACCUCGGCCUUGGACUAAUAUUGGUAUUCCGGCAGCGCAAUGUAUCUGGAAGUGUUGGGCGCCUCUACGCUGUAAAUUUUCUCCUUGGCAUGCGGUGCAGCACUGUGUGUAG
rnacentral:rRNA from 1 species